AAUCAACGCUGGCGGCGUGCCUAACACAUGCAAGUCGAACGCGAAGACCCCGCAAGGGGUUGUUAGCGUGGCAAACGGGUGAGUAACACGUGGGUGACCUGCCUUCGAGUGGGGGAUAACGUCCCGAAAGGGACGCUAAUACCGCAUAACAUCCUGCCUUUAGAUAGGUGGAGAGCAAAGCUGGGGAUCGCAAGACCCGGCGCUUGAAGAGGGGCCUGCGCCUGAUUAGCUAGUUGGUGAGGUAACGGCUCACCAAGGCAACGAUCAGUAUCCGGCCUGAGAGGGCGGACGGACACACUGGGACUGAGACACGGCCCAGACUCCUACGGGAGGCAGCAGUGGGGAAUUGUUCGCAAUGGGCGAAAGCCUGACGACGCAACGCCGCGUGGAGGAUGAAGAUCUUCGGGUCGUAAACUCCUGUCGAGCGGGAAGAACGUUUCGCGGAUGAAUAAGCCGCGGAAGUGACGGUACCGCUAAAGGAAGCCCCGGCUAACUCCGUGCCAGCAGCCGCAGUAACAC
rnacentral:rRNA from 1 species